rnacentral:rRNA from 1 species
CUACCCUACGGGGCGCAGCAGUAGGGAAUCUUCCACAAUGGACGAAAGUCUGAUGGAGCAACGCCGCGUGAGUGAAGAAGGGUUUCGGCUCGUAAAGCUCUGUUGGUAGUGAAGAAAGAUAGAGGUAGUAACUGGCCUUUAUUUGACGGUAAUUACUUAGAAAGUCACGGCUAACUACGUGCCAGCAGCCGCGGUAAUACGUAGGUGGCAAGCGUUGUCCGGAUUUAUUGGGCGUAAAGCGAGUGCAGGCGGGUCAAUAAUAUUUUUGUGAAAACCUUUGAGUACAC